rnacentral:lncRNA from 1 species
AUAUGUUGAGCGCCUAUUCUCCUUGCAGUGCUCCCAAGUACUGCUCCGAAAGGCCAAAUGCUCUCAAGAAUCCAGUUCUCUUUUGUCCGCUCACAUGCUCCCCACUUUCCAGCCAGGCACCUGCGAAUGCUGAUCGGUUUUGCUGAGUGUAUUCUGCAGGACCACACAUGGCAGUUUCUGGACCUGCCACGUCUCACUGGCAUUAAGCCAUGCACAUCCUGGGAGCAUCAGACCACACUCCACACUCGUGGCAAUCCUAUGCCACAACGAGGACUCCACAUUGUCCAUCUCCUAUAUAAACACCACAUCCCCCGGCCUCCCCAAGCCACUAGAUCCCAACAAGCCCAAUCCACUCAAAGGGAAGAGCCACCCACUUGCUUACAAACUCUUUCUUCACCACCUCGAGCCACAUAGCUAAGGAAAUGAUUGCCAUUGCCAAUAUCAGCUCAUUGUGUAACAAGCAUGCCAUUGUGACCGGUGUUAUCCAAGACGGCAAAGAAGCUUGUGAAAAUUAUAAUCUAAGAGAGUCGACACAGGGAGACGGAGAUGAUGACGAUGAUGAUGGAGACUACGAUUGUGCUCCGGCUGCAUGAUUGGAAGGCAAUGACCAUCCCAGUGGUGAUUGUCUUCGGCUUUUUUAGCACCACUCUAUCACCAUGAUGUUCGGUCUUCUAGAGUUCUAUGAAGUAUUUAGACGCUUUUCCAGACAUUAGCAAGGGACCGUGUCUGAACUGUCCACCCUAAAUUUGUAGUCUAUAUUUCAUGUCUGUAUGGUCCUCCUAUUCUACUCUAGUAUGGUAGUAUAUGGUUCUCAUGUGUCAAGGAUUUUUCCAUGCAUGAUGACAGCUAGUCUUGAUAGGUCUCUAUUUCUCCCCCUCUCUCGGAAGACAUAAGCUAUCUCAGAACAGCGAGCCUGGCAGAAGAAAACAGAUACAUACUACAAUCAUAAUAUUUUCAACGAACCAUAACUCGAGGAUUGUCAUAUAUAUGCUACGGAUCUAAAUAAUGUUAUCAAAACUUGGACACGCUUCAGCCGUGUCUAAAGCGAGGAAUAAUAACAUCGCAAUGCAUAAAAUAAGGUGUAAUGGUGGUGACUGGUGGUGCAAAAUAUGAGGGAACGUCUUUGGUGGGAGUCGAUUGGAGCUGCUUUUCUUCUCGUCCGCAGCAAAUUUGUCCCCUUUUUUUCUUGGAAAAGCAGCUAAAUCAAACCAUUCCAGAAUAAAUACAUCCGUGGGGAUAGGAAAAGAAAAUGCCCAAAAACUACAUGAGCAAAAUUUUUCAAAUUAAAUCAGCAGAUUUGAAUCAUUUUUUAUAACAAAUUUGUCUUUUUUGAUAAAAAGAAAAAGAAAAAUAGCCCCACCGCACUGCUACAUCUGCAUGCACGCACACAGGCCAGGUUGGCCAGUCAGGGUCCAGCCAAUCUUCAAACUAAUAGAUGAAACUUUAUAAUUUUUCAAAGGCACAGAACGCAAAGUUCUCUCCAGCCCAAAAUGCACGCC